rnacentral:tRNA from 1 species
CCCUGGCUGGCUCAGUUGGUAGAGCAUGUGACUCUUGAUCUCGGGAGUGUAAGUUCAAGUCCCACGUUGGGUA